rnacentral:lncRNA from 1 species
GGUAGCUGAGAUUGUCAAGAUUUGUGGAUUAAUAAAGCUGUGUGGGAUGGAGAAAACAGAGUGGUCAAAUGUGACUUGCCAGUUUCAAACUUGUGGAGAUGAGUUUUGGUAGAGUCAGUUACUGAAAUAUGACUGGCUAGAAAGUACGCAUGUGCAUGGAUGUAUACAUGCAUAUGUGGGGGUAUGUAUGUAGAUGGAGUUGGUUAGGGAGUUGUUAUAAAAGACCAGACAAGAGAAUUAACAAUCAUAACAAUAGAAUGGGAAUCAAACAAAUAGCAUUUCACCAAAUUUAUAAACAUUUUAAGGUUGUUAGAAAGAAUUCAUGUAGACUUAGAAAGUGGUGAUUUCACAAUUUUUAUACCCCAUUUGUAGUUUUCUAGAUCAUUAUUUGAUAGCCUUUCUGUGCACUUGAGUGUUGAGUCAAUGCCUCAUUAAUUUAGUUAAUGUUUACAUAGGAAGAGAAUUUUAAACCAUCUUAUAUGAUUAAAAUGUAUUAUUAAAACAUUAAAAAUAUUUAUUAUCACUUUAUAAUUUCGUAUCUCUGAUGUAAAAAUGAGUGCACUAUUUCAACAAAGUGUUAAUUUAUUAGCUACAGUAGCUAUAGUACAAUGGGAGCUGCUACCUAUACCCGAGCAUUCUUUUUUAAGAAACACAGUAAUUUGAGAAUUGUUCAAUUGUAGAGGCUUAAAAAUAAACAGAGUCAAGAAAAAGCCACAUAUGGCUCAUCUACAUGAAAGAUGGCUAGAAGUUCAACUCAGCUUGCUUCUUCAGGGAGUGAUAUUCUUCAGACAUUUCGCUGAAUUCACAUAUAAUGUUCAUCCAAGUGGCUCAUAGCAUCUGCAGAAAAAGCCUCAUUCUGGGCUUGCAAACAUUCUUCUUUUAAAAUGAUAAACAUUACUCUUGAAAAUGCCAGUAUAAAAAAUGAGUUUUCAAAAUACUCAUUCAGAGCAGAUAUCAAUAAGAUGGUAGGUCUACCUGGGCUAAGAAUUGUGGGUGGCCAGCUCAGAGGCUACUUCUGUACACUCUGAUGGACAUUGGGAUAGCAGCCAAAGAUCCAGGGAAAAGUAGCCUCAUGAACUCUAAGAUUCUCUUGGUUUUCACCAUUUUGAACAAAAAGGUAAGCUAUGUUGUUCAUAUUAAUUCUCAGGGAUAUGGUCUGCCUUUAUUAUAUGUCUCCCUCUUUUCAGAAAAUGUAUAAAGAAUUCCAGCUCUCUAUCAGGAGCUGUACUAGGUGCUGGGGAUACAAAACACAGCUUCUGGUUUCAAGAAGCUUAUAGUCUGGCAAUAGGGAGAUUCUCUUCAUACCAUUCCUAGUAAUCAAACAACUAACUUAUGAUAAGUAUUCAAUAAGUGGAUAAAUGAAAUAAUAUAUAAUUCAUAAUUAUAAUCCAUACUGCUUGACUUGACUUCCAUGAUACCCCAAAGAGACCCCUGCACUUGAGUGGAUCAUUUUUUAUGCAAUAGCAAAUAGUUUGGGUAGGAAAUUUUUAUGCAUAUUUGCUGCAAAGCCUUCAAAUUUGCCAAAAUAGAUUUUUCUCUGUAAUUGUUGCUGUUACUCUACUGAACUUAUACCCAAAUGAUUCUUUGCUAAAUUAUUUGCUUAAAAGUAGUAAGACACUUUUGACCUAACUCAAAAGUGAAAAGUCGAAUAUACACAGCUAAACGGGAGACGGUUGCUUCAUUUAGCCACACACAGUGGGGGAGAAUGAUCAGCAAGUAUAUGGUGACCUGAAGGGCCUUCAGUUUAACUUUUUUCAUAGCAGUUCUCUUCUCCACAACUGUGCCUUCUUCUUUGAGUCUUUAAUGCCGUUCACUUUUCAAAAUCAGCUCUCAGGAAAGCACCAAUAGCUUUGCAGCAAAUAAGUGACUCUUAGGUUUUAAAGUGUAAGUCUCACUGUGAAAAAAGAUUUUUUUGUAACCUGGUAAAGGUAUUAUUAUCUUUGAGGGUCCAGGUUGGGGGUCAUGAGAAGGGUCAGGGAUCCUUCUCAGUAUCCCUGGAAUCAGACCACACAAACACUGCUUUGGUGCUCAUAAGAGUGGGUUGCUCUGAAUAAACAUCCAUGAUCAGUUAACUUGUUCAUUCAUUCUUUCAAUGAUUGAAUGGUGAAUAAGACAUAAAGAUUUUGGUGCUUGUGAGACAAAAUGGAGUUAUGAAGUGACAGAAAUUGUGAUUCAAAAGUAAAAGAUCUACGGUAAGUAAAAUGGAAAUAAUGAAGUCAGUAGAUGAGAGAGCUGAGUGGAGCAGACCCAGGAAAAAUAUAGACACCACCAAAGAAAGUAACUGGCCUCUAAUGUCUUGAAAGGACUGAGAGCAGAGCCACACCCGACCCACAGGCCCUUGGAAAAGCAUAUUGGAAAGUAUUUUAAAACUUUAAGCAGAAUGGAAGUGAGAAUUUAGGAACUCAAAGAUAAGCCCUGUGUACUCUUUCCUUCUAUCUCAUGUUAUCUUUAUCCCUCAUAAUUCCAGCUGUCCUUCCUCCAUUCAUGGCCACUUCUCUUCAUGACGUUUAAAAAAUUUUGGCCUGUCUUCAAACUAUUCAAUCUGUUACCCAUUUCUAGAAUACAAGUUGCAUGAGGGUAAGAUUGGCCCAGCUCGUCUAUAUACAAUGGACUUGCUGUACUUAUGUCAAGUGCCUUUAUCCUUGUCUAAUCCAUGCUGCAUCAGUGGCUGCCCAAGGCUGGGGUCAUGGGUAAGUAAGGAGGUGUUCUUUGAAAGAGAUUUGGGACACUGAUGGCAUGAAGGCUAAAAAAAUCUAGAGCAAAAAUGAGUUGCUAGAAUGUAAAAAAGCAAACUUUUUUGAUUUAUUUGUCGUGUACUACCUACUGCUCUAUACACUUUAUAUUUAACCUUAGUAAUAAUCCUUUCAACAUCAUUAUACUUACUUUUUAUAUGAGGAAACUGAGGUACAGAGCUAUUCCAUCAAAUGGAAGAGUUAAGAUUUGAACUCAGGCAGCCUGGUUUCCAAACCUAUUUACACAAAUAUUAUGUUCUACUGAAUGGUUUUAAAUUCUGUUUUCUCAUUUAGUAUUGGUUAUGUGAUUUUAGGCAAGAAAUACAACUUUUUAAAAUUCCAGUUUUUCCAUUCAUCCAAUGAAGAUAAUACCUGUCCACAUAUCACAUAAGAUUUUCCUCUGGAUUAAGUAAGAAUGUAUUUGAGAAUUCUUUUUAAACUGUAGUGUAAGGUAUUAUAGUUUAAGACAACAUUAUCAGUAACAAUAAGAGCAAAAAUACAGAGAAGUUUUAUUAAGUACUUAAUUUUCUGAUAGCACUUUAAAAAAUUCAUGCGUUCUUUGCCCUCAAAUUCCCAUUAUAAAAUAGCUGUUGUAAUCUUUUACACUUCCGUAUGAUGGUCUUUUGGGAAAUUUUCUAUUGAGGCUGAUCAGAUUACCGCUGUAUCAUCCAAGAAAUGAUAAUAUGGAAAAGGGCAAAUGUCCUGGAUCCACAUCUAUUUUUCUCCUUUUUCUCCUCCUACCCAUGAUUAUUUGUGGGUAGAUAAAUUUGUAACAUGUUUUAAAAGUGUCAGAUGAAAGAUGUUAAAAUCAGUAUGUUCUGUUACAUUGUUUUUUUUCUUGAGGCUUUCAACAACAAACUGUACAAUGGAAAGUUCUUUUAACUUACUAUUUAUCUGUAGUUACAUGUCUGUUCUAUUUUAUAGCACUUAGAUUAUUUACACAGCAUACAUCUAAAUAAAUGCUCUAAAAAUAAAUCAGUCGAAUAUAUUUUUAACAUUUAUCCUUUCUUUUAACAAAUCAGGUAGGAACACCAGUGUGUUUCAAAGGGAAUAAUUGGGAACUGAGGCAGUUUUCUUCCUUCCAGGUUUCUCUGUUGCAGUAGCAAGCACAUUAAGUGCCAAAAUAGCAUUAAGCCCAAGAACAUAUUAGCUUGCUAUGGGAUGCCUAGAGCUCCAUGGUAACAAUUAUUUGCAGAAUUCACAAGAUACACUCUUUGAAUUAAAAGAUACUUAUAUCAUUUUAGGAAAAAUAACAUGCAUAGGUGAAGGAGAAUAGGGGAAGAGUUAAACCAGACUAUUUUUUUCAAGAAUAGAUUUUAUCCAUAAAUUAAUCCUUUUCUAUGGUUAUAUUUAUGUCAUUUCACUUUCCUUUCUUAUAUUUCUCAUCUUCAUUCACCUUGAAAAAGGAUAUAUUUGUGCUUGUAGUCUGCUGGGGGAUUGCAUAUGGUUAUGAGGUUGGGAAGAUAUUACAUUUCACCUCAUAAAGUUGGUUAUGUCCUCUGAGUAUGCAUAAAAAUGAAAUUUCCUUUAUUUGUUUGCUGUUGGAGUAAGAUUCUCAGAUUUUGCUUGUUUUCAUUUUAAGUAGGUUGAUGACCAUAUCCUCCUCCUGUCCUGCAUAAUGUUUUCUUAUGCCUUUACCUCUGGGGCAAUAACUUGUAUUCAUAAACACAGAGGUAAGAGUUAGAGGUGGUCACCUGCAGAUAUGGUAUACAUGGUCAAAGGUUCAGUUAUUACCCAGUGGCCCUGGAAGAAAUUAUGUCAUUAAAAGCAUAAAUGAAAGGGUCCUUUGGAGUUGAGAGGGUUUAGAAGAUGUGAAAUGAAUACUAUCACCAUUUUCUUCUGGUCAUAGAAUCACUGGAAGCAAUAAACUUUGUCAAAAAUUAUUGACCAGUUAUAUCUUUUCUUUUACCUCUGAUUAUGAUCCUAAAAUCCUUCUCCCACUUAGAUCUAAAAAUGUAAUCCAAAGCUGGAUUAGUUUAUGAGAUUCCAUUUUAAUUUCUAAAUGACAAGACUAUGGACUUAAUAGAUAUUUGUAGAACAUUGAAUCCAAAAGCAACAGAAUACACAUUCUUCUCAAAUGUGCAUGGAAGAUUUUCUAAGCUAUAUCAUAUGUUAGGUCACAAAACAGUCCAAGUAACUAUAAGAGGAUUUAAAUCACAUUAAGCUUCUUUCCCAACUUCAAUGAAAACUAGAAAUUAUGUGAAAAAAAUUGAAAAUUUGCAAAUAAGUGGAGAUUAAACAGCAUGCUACUGAAUAACCAGUGGGUCAAAGAAGAUAUCAAAGUACAAAUCAAAAACUACUGUACAACAAAUGAAAAUAGAAAUUAAACAUAUCAAAAUGUAUGGGAUGCAGUUCUAAGAGGGAAAUUCAUAGUGAUAAACACCUAUUCAAGAAACAAGAUGGAGUUCCCGUGUGGCUCAGUGGUUAACGAAUCCGACUAGGAACCAUGAGGUUGUGGGUUCGAUCCCUGGCUUGCUCAGUGGGGUAAGGAUCUGGUGUUGCCAUGAGCUAUGGUGUAGGUUGCAGACGCGGCUUGGAUCUCACGUUGCUGUGGCUCUGGUGCAGGCUUGUGGCUACAGCUCCAAUUAGACCCCUAGCCUGGGAAACUCCAUGUGUUGCAGCUGCAGCCCUAG